rfam:Oscillochloris trichoides DG6 genomic scaffold OSCTscaffold_7, whole genome shotgun sequence.
GGGUGUGUGGUUAGCGCGGUGGUCCCACCCCGUCCCAUCCCGAACCGGGUCGUGAAACACCGCAGCGCCGAUCCUACUGGCGGGGAACCCGCUGGGAACCUAGGUCCACGCACCCU